CCCCGCCCCGCCCCGCCCCGCCCGCGGGCGCCGCCCUGCGGCCUGGCGGCGCUGUGCCGCGCUGGGCCCCCCGCCGGCCCGAGGGGGCGGCGGCCUGAGGAGCGGGGAGCCGGCGCUCCUGGGGCUCCUGCGUGCCCUGCUUCGCUGGUAGGCGGGGCCGUUGCUGGGAAGUACCCGCAAAACCAGAUGCUUUUCAAAGGCUAGGCGAAUGUAAGGGUUCAAAAUGCCCCUCUACCUUCUGGAGAUACCUGUACUGAGACACAUUGGCUAAUGUUUUUUGAACCUACAGAGUAAGGAGAAACAAGGAUGAGCGAAAACUAGAAGAAAGCCCAUACAGAGAAGUCGGAGGAAGGAUCCGGGGUUAUUGGACAACUGUCUCUACGCUGCUUGACUCACCACUUGCUGGAGACAACAAAGCAAUACGUACCUGGGACAUUUCUGAAGCAAGAGAUGAGCUGGCACUGUCUCCUUGGAAGCUUAGGGAAGAUGAAUAGAAUAAGUCUUCCUGUCGUUCCAGACCUGUCUGCUUCUGGUGCAUUUGAGACCAAAUAGUAUUUU